rnacentral:rRNA from 1 species
CCUGACUAAACAUAGGAGGUCAGGCCUGCCCAGUGACAUUGUUCAACGGCCGCGGUAUCCUAACCGUGCGAAGGUAGCGUAAUCACUUGUUCUUUAAAUGAGGACUAGUAUGAACGGCUUCACGAGAGCUAUGCUGUCUCCUUUAUCCAAUCAGUAAAACUAAUCUCCCCGUGAAGAAGCGGGGAUACAAUUAUAAGACGAGAAGACCCUAUGGAGCUUUAAAUUCUUUUAACAUUUGAACUACGUAUAAAACUUUCAGAAAACUUCAUUAAACCAAUCAUUUUGUUUCAGGUUUUAGGUUGGGGUGACCACGGAGAAAAAAUUAACCUCCACGUGGAAAGAAGCUAUCUUCUAAGCAAAAAGCUACACCUUUAUGCAUCAACACAUUGACCUAAAUUGACCCAAUUGCUUGAUCAACGAAC